CUGUUUGUCGAUUCUGUCUAUAGUAUACUCAAUACUCUUCCAAAACACACGCACCGAUUCUCUCGAGUAACUCCCAAACGACGCAUCCCAGAAUCCACCGGCUCCCCCAACUAUACCAUAUACCAUCACAACUGCCGACUACUUCAAAUGGAGACUCACCCCGACCCCAUUCCGCCCACAUCUCCAACUCCGACCGCCAAAGACCGAAGUUCCUGCCAAUUCAAACCCCCACCGUCCACCGUACCUCCCUACACCGCUAGAGUUUCCGCCGCCGGAUAGAAUUGCCUGUGGCCAGAUGGUCUGAACCGUGAGCCAGCGCUGGGGAGAAACGGGUGAAAGAGUGUUGGGGAAUUGGGUUUUGACUGUAGAAAUGGGUCAAGUAUUUCCCAUCUAUGAUACUUACAUCAACAUGAUAAUAUUAAGCAAAUCAAUGUCAAAGCCUCAAGGUCAUCAGCUACUUUAAUUAAGCCUUCAGAUAUUGGUGAAUAAUUAAUUGGACAACCUAGGAGCGAUGGGGAAGAGAAAGAGCACUUCACAGUUCUAUUGAUACCCUCAAUGCACAUGAAGUGAGUAUUCUUUUAAAUCUUAGAAGUGAGUCUUACAAAAGAACAACUCUUGUUGCUCAACAAGUGAGUGGUUUAGAGGAGGAGGAAGAAGCGUUGAGGAAAGAUUCUGAAGUUGAGAAUCAGGUCAAGGAUUUGAAGGAAUUUGAGGUGGAGGUGGUGGAGCUAAAGAGGAAGAAUAAAGAGCUUCAGCAUGAAAAGAGGGAGUUGAGUAUUAAGCUGGAUGCUGCUGAGCCCAGAAUUAGAACACUCUCUGGGAUGACCGAGAGCUCCGGUUCUUCUCAUACCGGUCAUAUGCAGGCUGAGUUCUCAAAAACAGCAACACACUUGACGCCAGUCCCACGAUAGAUAUACACCCCCAGCCAACAAACGUCAAGAAAUAGCACUGUCGACCCAUGCACACGACCGACUCGGUCAUCAUUCCGCUUGGGGCUGCGUUGGCAUCGUAGAUGAGCGAUGCUAGGAGGCCGUAGACUAGCGACCCAAUGGGGAUGUUGGUAAUGAGGAUGUUGUGGUUGACGCCAACACUGUUUGGUCCGAACAGCUCUGAGGUUACGGAGACUGCAGCAGCAAAUAUGAAGCCGGAGCUCAGGCCAAUGAGAGCUGUCCCUGCACGGAGGGCUCUCGCCGUGCCAGAGACUGCUAGCAUGAAGAAGGCGAUCGGGGUGGGGAUGAGGGCGAUGGCUAGCCACCCCGUCCUCGCAAAAUAGAUCUUCCUGUACAAAAAAAUGAACAUAUAUAUCUUUGUUUAGUGCCAUAAAAUUGUAUUGCUGCACAUACAUCUUGUGGUUACUCACAGUCUAUUGAUCUGAUCAAAGCUUUAGUUUUGCUGCUAAA